CGGAGGGUCCAAGCGUUAUCCGGAAUCAUUGGGUUUAAAGGGUCCGUAGGCGGUUUUGUAAGUCAGUGGUGAAAGCCCAUCGCUCAACGGUGGAACGGCCAUUGAUACUGCAAGACUUGAAUUACUAGGAAGUAACUAGAAUAUGUAGUGUAGCGGUGAAAUGCUUAGAUAUUACAUGGAAUACCAAUUGCGAAGGCAGGUUACUACUAGUGGAUUGACGCUGAUGGACGAAAGCGUGGGGAGCGAACAGGAUUAGAUACCCUGGUAGUCCACGCCGUAAACGAUGGAUACUAGCUGUUCGGUAGCAAUACUGAGUGGCUAAGCGAAAGUGAUAAGUAUCCCACCUGGGGAGUACGUUCGCAAGAAUG
rnacentral:rRNA from 1 species